rnacentral:rRNA from 1 species
UGGGGAAUUGUUCGCAAUGGGCGCAAGCCUGACGACGCAACGCCGCGUGGAGGAUGAAGAUCUUCGGGUCGUAAACUCCUGUCGAGCGGGACGAAUGCUCUGUGGAUGAAUAAGCCGCAGGGGUGACGGUACCGCUAAAGGAAGCCCCGGCUAACUCCGUGCCAGCAGCCGCGGUAAUACGGGGGGGGCAAGCGUUGUUCGGAAUUACUGGGCGUAAAGGGCUCGUAGGUGGCCAAUUAAGUCAGACGUGAAAUCCCCAGGCUCAACUUGGGAACUGCGUCUGAUACUGACUGGCUUGAAUUCGGGAGAGGGAUGCAGAAUUCCAGGUGUAGCGGUGAAAUGCGUAGAUAUCUGGGGGAAUACCGGUGGCGAAGGCGGCAUCCUGGACCGAGAUUGACACUGAGGAGCGAAAGCCAGGGGAGCAAACGGGAUUAGAUACCCCGGUAGUCCUGGCCCUAAACGAUGAAUGCUUGGUGUGACGGGUAUCGAUCCCUGUCGUGCCGAAGCUAACGCAUUAAGCAUUCCGCCUGGGGAGUACGGUCGCAAGGCUGA